rnacentral:rRNA from 1 species
CGAAAGGGCGGCGGCUAAUACAUGCAAGUCGAGCGGACCGACGGGAGCUUGCUCCCUUAGGUCAGCGGCGGACGGGUGAGUAACACGUGGGUAACCUGCCUGUAAGACUGGGAUAACUCCGGGAAACCGGGGCUAAUACCGGAUGCUUGAUUGAACCGCAUGGUUCAAUUAUAAAAGGUGGCUUUUAGCUACCACUUGCAGAUGGACCCGCGGCGCAUUAGCUAGUUGGUGAGGUAACGGCUCACCAAGGCGACGAUGCGUAGCCGACCUGAGAGGGUGAUCGGCCACACUGGGACUGAGACACGGCCCAGACUCCUACGGGAGGCAGCAGUAGGGAAUCUUCCGCAAUGGACGAAAGUCUGACGGAGCAACGCCGCGUGAGUGAUGAAGGUUUUCGGAUCGUAAAACUCUGUUGUUAGGGAAGAACAAGUACCGUUCGAAUAGGGCGGUACCUUGACGGUACCUAACCAGAAAGCCACGGCUAACUACGUGCCAGCAGCCGCGGUAAUACGUAGGUGGCAAGCGUUGUCCGGAAUUAUUGGGCGUAAAGCGCGCGCAGGCGGUUUCUUAAGUCUGAUGUGAAAGCCCCCGGCUCAACCGGGGAGGGUCAUUGGAAACUGGGGAACUUGAGUGCAGAAGAGGAGAGUGGAAUUCCACGUGUAGCGGUGAAAUGCGUAGAGAUGUGGAGGAACACCAGUGGCGAAGGCGACUCUCUGGUCUGUAACUGACGCUGAGGCGCGAAAGCGUGGGGAGCGAACAGGAUUAGAUACCCUGGUAGUCCACGCCGUAAACGAUGAGUGCUAAGUGUUAGAGGGUUUCCGCCCUUUAGUGCUGCAGCAAACGCAUUAAGCACUCCGCCUGGGGAGUACGGUCGCAAGACUGAAACUCAAAGAAUUGACGGGGGCCCGCACAAGCGGUGGAGCAUGUGUUUUAAUUCGAAGCAACGCGAAGACCUUACCAGUCUUGACAUCCUCUGACACCCUAGAGAUAGGGCUUCUCCUCGGGGGCAGAUGACAGCUAGUGCAUGAUUGUCGUCAGCUCGUUCGUGAGAUGUGGUAGUUCCGCACGAACGCACCUGGAUCUUGCGCCAGCAC